rnacentral:rRNA from 1 species
UGAGGAAUAUUGGUCAAUGGGCGCGAGCCUGAACCAGCCAUUCCGCGUGCAGGAGGAAGGCCUUAUGGGUUGUAACCUUCUUUUCUGCAAGAAGAAAAGUCCCGACGUGUCGGGAUGUGCCGGUAUUAUAGGCAUAAGCAUCGGCUAACUCCGUGCCAGCAGCCGCGGUCAUACGGAGGAUGCAAGCGUCAUCUGGAUUUCGUGGGUUUAAAGGGUGCGCAGGUUGUUUUAUAAGUCCGUGGUGAAAGUCUGUCGCUUAACGAUAGGAUUGCCAUUGAUACUGUAGGACUUGAGUCUGGAUGAGGUAGGCGGAAUGUGUAGUGUAGCGGUGAAAUGCAUAGAUAUUACACAGAACGCCGAUUGCGAAGGCAGCUUACUAAUCCAUGACUGACGCGGAGGCACGAAAGCGUGGGGAUCAAACA